UGACUUGAUAUGCUACAACAUGUAUUAUGAAUAUGGUAAAUCAAUAGAAAAAUAAAUAUAUAAAGAUCUAGUUUGGGUAGUUAUUAAAAUAAAAAAAACCUCUUCACCUAGACCCCACCUAGGCCCCCGCCUAAUUUUCUAGAGGGAUUUUUUUGCCGCCUUGGGCCUAGCUGAGGCGCCAGAGGGCCUAGCGCCUAGGCGAGGCGUCAAGGGGGGCCUAGGCGGAUCUAGGCGGGGAUUUUUAGAACACUGAUUUUGACAAUCAAAAUCAAAAUCCUUCUUGAGUUCCUUCAUACAUGCAUUACAUAUUUACGUGCACACAAAUUCAAAGCAACCAAAACUCAUCAUCCUCUUCACCCCACAACUAAAUCUAACGCAAUCUUAACUCAGAAAACUCUUAACUUCUCAAAAUGAAAGAAACCCAUAUCCAAAUAAUUUUUUUUUACCAUCACCCUAACAACCAAUAUUCAAAGCAACCCAAACUC
rnacentral:lncRNA from 1 species